UAGGGAAUAUUGGGCAAUGGGCGGAAGCCUGACCCAGCCAUGCCGCGUGAAGGAAGAAGGCCUUCUGGGUUGUAAACUUCUUUUAUACAGGAAGAAAAAGGUCAUGCGUGGCCAAUUGACGGUACUGUAUGAAUAAGCACCGGCUAACUCCGUGCCAGCAGCCGCGGUAAUACGGAGGGUGCAAGCGUUGUCCGGAUUUAUUGGGUUUAAAGGGUGCGCAGGCGGCGCGCUAAGUCAGUGGUGAAAUCCCGCAGCUCAACUGUGGAACUGCCACUGAUACUGGCGUGCUUGAGUACGGACGAGGUAGGCGGAAUUUAUGGUGUAGCGGUGAAAUGCAUAGAUACCAUAAAGAACACCGAUAGCGAAGGCAGCUUACUAGACCGUAACUGACGCUCAUGCACGAAAGCGUGGGGAUCGAACAGGAUUAGAUACCCUGGUAGUCCACGCUGUAAACGAUGAUCACUCGAUGUGUGCGAUAUACUGUACGCGUCCAAGCGAAAGCGUUAAGUGAUCCACCUGGGGAGUACGUUCGCAAGAAUG
rnacentral:rRNA from 1 species